ensembl:lncRNA
UUUGUUCUGUAGACCAUAAAAGCAUCUGACACAAACAAACAAACAAAAAAACUGCUACAAAUGCAGUAUUUGUUACAUUGAAAGAAACUUUACAAACCUAACAUGAAAACAAACCCAAAAAUAAUAGUAAAUCAUAUUGUAUGCUCUUUUCCAUUGCUGCCUUUACAUGAUUUGAAACCUGAUGAAGAGCUUAUUUGCCUUAAAGCUUGUUUUUUACCAACUGUAUCAGUUAAUCUAAUAAAAGAUAAUGACUAUACAAACUCUCUCCUCACAUACAUUUCACAGAGUCUAGAUAGAGGGGAAAAAAUUAAGUUUGAAAACCCUACUUGUGCAGUCCCAUUGAAAGGACAACGAAUUUGUCUGGAUGCAAUAUGUAAUAAAUAACCCUAUGGGAAAAAAACAAAACAACAAAAAAAAAAAGCAGAAACUCUCACAGCAUGUGCUUUACAAACUUGAAUAACUUGGACAUUUAAAUUGUUUUGUUUGGUCUCUUGCAUAUGGCAAAAUGGCCCAAUUGAUGCACUAAGUACCAUCAGUAUUUCAUUUUUAAGAAUUUAUCUGUUCUCCCUCCCCCUCCCCAUGAUGAUGGAGGAUAGGAUCAGUUUAGUAUCUGGAUCGCUGGCAGUGCACUUGAGUGCUGGUGAGUCAGCUAGAUGGGAAUGCUCCCUCUGAGUCAGUGCGGAGCCAGCCUCCCAGCAUGGUGCUUGGGGACACUCUGGUGCUUGAGCUGCAAUCAUUUAGAUCAGAGAAAACCAAAGCCCUGAACAGUUGCGGUCACUUGAGAUCAGAUGGAAAAAAACAGAGAGAUUAUGCCAGUAUCCUCAGCAAACUCAAAAGAAGACAAGAAUUGCACUAGGCCAGAUCUGCUCGCACUCUGCCAGGAAUCUUGGUGAGAUAGACUUGUUUGUUUUCUGCCAUUAAAUAGUCAAGCCUUUUUCGUUUACUUUUCUUUUUCCUUUUUCUUUCUUUCUUUCUUUCUUUCUUUCUUUCUUUCUUUCUUUCUUUCUUUCUUUCUUUCUUUCUUUCUUUCUUUCUUUCUUUCUUUCUUUCUUUCUUUCUUUCUUUCUUUCUUUCUUUCUUUCUUUCUUUCUUUCUUUCUUUCUUUCUUUCUUUCUUUCUUUUUCUUUUGGAAGAAACCGUGUGUGUAAAACUUGCUGUAUUUCACACCAGCAGUGGUUUCGUUUUAGUUCUACAGAAAAUGGUUCUGGUAUGGAUAAACUGUAGGAUUUCACAUGACAAGGAAUAAAUCAGUCCUAGCUGUGCUUUUGCAUUGAUUUCAAUGAAGUUUUGAGCAGUUCCAGAGUUUUAAAAGCAUCUAUAAAUCAUCUGAUAGAAAAUAAAAGAUAUUUAAUCACAAAUGAAUUCUUCUUUCAGAAACUAUAGGUUUUUUUUUUAUUCCCUAGCUUGCAAACUGUUUGGAUCAGGGACCUGAUUUUCAUUUUAUGUUCACCUUCUGUAUAGCACAGUUGUCUCCUCUGGGCUUUGGAAUUACCAUCUCAGCAAAGCUGUAAUAAGAGUGAUAACCCUGAUGACAAUUAUGUCCAUAAUAAUAAAUUCAACUCUUUCCAGUAAAUAAUAUGUACAAUUAUUACACUCAAUUUCUGUUUAUAAUUCAAGUAUUUUUAGUUUCCCUUAACAAAAGUUCAUGUCACUGACAAUGCAUCUAAUUAAGUACACUAAAAUGAACAUCUGCCGAAUCUCCAGCCAAAAGGAAAGCUCUGAUUCUCUCUUGCUUCAAGAACAAGAAGGACAUACUGACAAGAUUUUUCUAUUUUUCAUUCUAAAAUACACUAGCUCGUGUUGUAACCAUCAUCCCCUUCACUCACAUGGUUGCAUGGUUAGUUGACAAUUUAUUAGGGAUUCAUCAUGCGCACAUAAACCAUCUGACAAUCAGUUCAGCAAACACAACAUUAACUCUAAAAUUUCAAAUUGAUUCAAGGUGCACAGGUAAGGGAAAAAAGGGGAUGGUAUUCAAAGUAAAACAAAUAAACAUUUACUUUAGGACUGUAUCGAUAUUGAAGAGCACAUCUCCUAAUGUGUGAAGAUUGAAUGAAACUCUCCACAAAGUAUAUGUUGAGAUCUUGACCUGAGAACUCAUGUUACAGGAUAGAUCUCAAUGCAAAAUUGAAAGGAAUGAGUUCUCCACCCACCAACUCCAGCACUGCUGCUAGGCACUAUAAUAAUUAAUCGAGCCUUGAUAUUUCAUCAGCCUUUGAUUACAGUGGAACAUUUCACACAGAAAGUGAGACAAUGUUGCAACAAAGUUAGGAGAAAAAAUCACAUUUCAGCCAGCAAAGUUUAGGGAACUUUGACAUUUGAUUUCACUUAGUAGAGUGAAAAAUUGCAUUAGAGUAAAGAGGAACAUGCUACUUUGAGCGGGAGAGACACGGGUCAGCCAGCAUACUGUCCACUAAAUGUUUCAUAUAUUUAAUAGUUACUGUGAAAGAUAAGGGAGCAGAUUCUCAUUUUUACCAAGAUUUUGAUGCCUGCAGAUGAAGGAGACCUCUUUUUCCACAAACAUACAAACAGUAAUCCCAGCCACUCUGAACAGUGAGUCCUUGCCCAUGGAAUCCAAAGAUUGUUCCAAAUCUCUCAAGUUGGUCUAAGCCUCUAACAAAGUGUUGGACAGUUGAUCACUGGUAGAGCAGACACUGAAAUACAGCCCAUGACACUCAGUGACAUGUUUUGGAGUGAAAGCCUUGCCCAAGGUUAGCUGUGCCAGAGUGUGCUGCCAAGGCACCCUGGCGCUAUGGCUCAGGAGCCAGUGGAGAUCUGCUUUAUACUGCGAAAUGAAGAAUUAUAGAGUUCAUUUUUCUGACUUCCUAUAUUCACCUCAGUAUCACAUGGCUUUCCAGCAUCAAGCCCUUUCCUAGUUGAAAGUUUCUGACAAUGAUUUGAGUGUAAGCCUCAAGCAGUUUGGGAGAGGGUUGUGUGUGGGGAGGUCUUGGUAUGGACACAACAUUUAGAGUAUUUCACCAUUCUUCAAUUGCAUGAUCUUGGCAAGGAGGGGAGAAAAUUAAGUAUCAAGGGGAAAAACAAACUAACAAACAUACUUUACUAUUUUUGAUUCUGCAAAUUCUGUAUGUACUUAUAUGGAGAAAUCUAUUACCCUCAUAUAGCAAACAUUUUAUUCAGCAACAUGAUGUAAACAGAUAAUUUUGUCUUUUUUGCUAGGACUUUGGAUGAAAGAAUGUUUGGGGAGGGGGGGAACACUGGGAUGUGUGAAAUGUAAGAGAGGAAAUGUAAGAAGAGAGAAAUCAGAACAUGACGCAUAAUAAGGCUACAGAAAGAGCAGCUGAUAAAAAAAAAAGAUAAGCAGUAAAGAGGAAAUUAAAAGACAACAACUUAUCCUCUUGGAAUUAAUCAAGAAAUGAGAACAUGUAUGCCUGUAGUAACAUCUCCAUCUCCCAUUGGCAGUUCCUCCAAAAUCCAGGGUGUUCCCUGAAUCCUGGCUGACAUCCAGCUUGGGUAAUUAUAUUCUACUUACACAAAAUUCCCCUUGCAGUUUCAAUUGGACACGACUUUGCAUCCCAACAUUUUCUGCAGUGUGGUUAUGUGUGCUUCACAGCAGAGAUGGCUGCAUUUCAGUAGGGAGCAAAGUUAUCUUCCUAUAUAGCUCAUAUACUAUGUUAUAAAGCACCUGGGACCAUUCUGCAUCCAAUGUGCUCAACACAUUAUGUUAUCAGAAGUAUGCAAGUUAUUAGGAGAAAUAGUAUACAGUAAUCAUUUAUCUAUCAAGAUAAUAAAUUUUGUGUUAAGUAGGGUCUAAGCUAAAUCACAGCACCAUAGUAGUGCUCAGAUGGAAUUGAAUGGCACAGUUAUAAAAGUAAAUGAACAAGCCAGUAUGGCUACAGCUGGGAAAAGUAAAUCAAAGGCCCAGAUCCUCAGUGUAAGUAACAUGAAUUCAUAGAAGCUCAGCUAUUUACACCAGUGGGGAAUCUGCCUCAAAAAAACAGGCUGGCAAAGAGAGAAUGACCAUCCUUCCCAGUGUUUUAAUGUUUUCCCACCCAGCAGAAGCAAGCAGGCAUUUUUUAGCAGUGGUUGAAGACUCAUGGGAGGUUAUGAAGCCAGAAAAUAAGAGUAAGGGAAAAAUCACACAGACACACACAUAAAUUCAAGGGAAGAGCCAGUGCCAGCAGAAGAGAAAAGAGUGAUUCAGAAUGCAUCUAGGAUUGUAGCCACAGGUGAAAGAUCCAUAAGAGGGGAAACUGUGCUGUUGCCCAGUAGCUUGAAAUGAAAUCCGACUUCUUAUUAGUUUGGGAUAUUUAAAAAAAAAAUUUAUUUUAUGUUUAGAUCAAAAGGGCAUCGAGUAAUGCAAUCCAUGUGUUUACACAGAGAACAGCAUUAGUAUGGGGAUGCAUGGAAACCACAUGGGAAUAUCUGCUAAAUGAGACCAUGCCAAAAACAUCCAUUCAGCAGUCUUGCAAAACCCAUUGUAUGGAAGAGAGUUGACCACUGCAUAAUUCAACUGAGAGAAAGGCACUGAGUGACUGAGUGCAGCAGCUUGUGAGAGAGAGACAAGUUUGCUGUACUGGUCUAACGUGUUAAUUUCACAAUCAUUUCCACAUUCAGAAUUAGAUGAAGCAUGAUAGACUCCACAAUGAAAAGUAUGAGAUAAAAAUGAAAUCAAUUAGAGUAGACAAAACAGAGCAUUCAGCUUCCAGAAUUUCAGAAAAGCAUGCUUAAAAUAAGAAAAAAUAUAAGUUAAUAUUUGAUAAAUUAUUGUUUUAUUUAUCUUCCUUUUUGACUUACUGAACAGUCACUGGCUCUUAAUUUAUUACUUCUCAGAGUAAAAUGUAACACGAAAAGGACUGUAUAGUAAGAAACACAUUUUCUAGAGCAUGACUUUUCAGUUCAACACAGCUCAGUUGGAUCCACAAAGUAUUCUUGUGAGAGAGAGAGAUCCACUUAAUCCUUCAACCUUGGUGAGGUUAUACAAAUAAGGAAUUACUGGGGCUGUGUGGAAUCUAGGAUUAUAGACACUGUUUCCAAAACCUCACGAAGACAGAGGUAAAAGAAGAAGCCAGGAUUUGGCUUCUUCUAAAGAGGAAAGAAUGUCAGCUGUGAAGGUGAAGAGUUUAGCUCCUGCUGUGUUUUGAUUGACCAGUUAGUACUGUUACAAACCUCAGAAGAUAGCAAGAAAAUAAAUGAGUCAACUGAAGUAAAUUAAAAGAGCUAAUAUCAGAGAGAGAAGAACACACUGGAUACAAUAAAAAAUUGAUAGAUUUAAAUGGGAAAAAAAAAACAGAAAAUGUAAUUUAUUUUAAAAUAGGAGGAACUUUUGAAGUAUAACAGCUGUAGAUAUUUCAAUACCUGAAAUAAAAAAUAACCUUUUCAGAAGCAACAAAGAUAAUUGGGAAUAAAGCUUAAGAAAAUGGGUCAAGGAAUAUUUUUAUUAUUAUUUUGCACAUACUGUGUGGUAUUUUGCUGAAUUACAGAACUGCAUAUCUGAAAAUCUAACUGAAGCACAAGAGACAAGAUUUAAUUCUUUAUUGCGGGUCUGCUAAUGCUCUUCAGAAUUAAGCUAAAUUACCCUGUCUUUGAAGCCUCAUAUUCUUGACAAAUAUCUAAGACUUUUUGAUCUUUACCAUGUAUUUCACGCUGGUCCACAGUGAACUUUGCAAAAAAUUAGCUUUUGAUUUUGUCCCUUGCAUUUUGUCAACUGGAUUCUUGUAAGCUUUGGUUUAGCAACUUUAAAUCUCUGCUUCACAGAGGCUAAUUAAAUUAAAUCAACUGAGUGAAAAGGCAGCCUCUCAGGUCUGCAGUAGAACAAGAGGCAAUCCCAUAGGGAUGAAGAAGGGUAACACAGCAGCAUGUGAGCUUCUCCCCUUCCCCCUUCUUCUUUGUGAAAGCUGUCCUAGGCACUGUCCAGGAGACUGUGAGCUGAAACUGGCGUCUACCGUCAUCUAACACUGGGCACAAGAAAAUAAGCCAAAGAGACAACAGAAGGAGAAGUGCCAAUGUCCUCACUAUUUUGGCGCCAAGUGGAAAUAAACUCUACAUUACUAAUUUGUUUGAUUAAGGACACAUGACUUUUCUCCAUACACUUGUGACUGGUGAGAAAGCUGCUGGAAUAUGGCUUUUGAAAUCUUGUAUGCCAUUGAUUGCAGCUCACACACUAUGGGCAGAAACUACUGUGUUAUCCCCUGAUUAAUAGAAUGGCCUCACUAUAGGAAAAUCUGUAAAGCUGAAAAAGCUUAAGGUAAUUUCUACUGGUACAUGACACAGGCUUGCAAUCAGCUGGCGUAAUUUGGUGCCAUAGUUGUUAUCCUAUCAGGUACAGGUGCAAGUUUAGAAAUCUUACCUCCACGGGAAUGUUCUUUCAUACUGCAAUACAAACUCAUUGAUUAACAAAGUUUAAGUGACCAAAACAGUAUUCAAAAUUGAAACUGGAAAUUAUUUCACUGUACUGUAUAAAAUGGCAGUAACCUUUCCUUUCCACAUUUGAUGUGGUCUUCUGCUAAGUGAGUGACAAUCUGGUUGCACAAAGCUCAAAUCAGGGGACAAAUCUGCUAGGAGAGGCAACACCUGUUAUUUAACUGGUUAAUAACACUGUGGGCCAGAGGGGAGAUGAAAAACAAAUGCUUUCAAGCACACAAGCUCUUCAGAAAUAAAUCUCAUGUCCUUACACUCCUUAAACUCAAUGGGAAUUUUACCAUUGACUCAUUCAUCUCCCAUGAUAUUUAAAUUGCAAAUCGUGAGGAUGUAAGAUCCAUCCUAAAGGAAGGGAAAUUGCCUACCAUUAAAGAAAUGACAGAGUUGUUCUAAAUAAAGCCUGGAGUGCUGGAGCAUCAUGACCCAAUGUAGGUGUAGAGUUCAGAGAAGGCAAGUCACAACACUUUUGUGCAGUGGUUUACCCACCUGUUAAACGGGUCUAACAGUAAACCUCAGGAAAAUAGAGAUGAUUAAUUAAUGUGUCUGAUGUUCUCCAAGAUUCCAGAGAGGAGAAAGAAUACACUGCAAAAUAUUACUCUGAUUUUUUGUCAUUUUGGUGAUCCAUCAUCCUGCAGCACUGUGGGGACAGGAACUACUGCUUGAUUCAGCAGGCAGACACAUGCAAAAGCUGUUGAGAUUUGCCUUUGUUGUGGGCUGUCAAAUGUGUUUUUAUUUUUAUUUAAUUAUUGUCCUUUAUUGGGAGUGAGUUUCAAUUCACAGUGUUUUCUUGGGCCAUCAGAUUAUGAGGUGGUACCGAGGGAAGUGCUGCAAAGUAGGUCAGGUACCACAAAUGCAACCAGACAAGUCACUCAGGGGAAGAUAGCUAUUUCAAAUAAGACAGAGACUACAGCCUGGAAGACAAUGAUUAAAGCUUAGAAACCUUUUCUGAAGCUACUGCAUGAUAGCCCUGGAUGACUACAGAUAAAAAGUCAGAUAAAGCUGUUUUACUAUCAGCUUUCAGUCGUGCUAAAAUCCUGAUUCUGUCAACCUUACACUGAGGACUAUACCUUGCCUGGCAAGGGGACCCAUUUCCUGUGUUCACACAGAAUAAUUGAGAUAUGAACCUACACACUUGAGUAGUACUGUCUACAUUGAAUAAACUUUGCUAGGACAUUUGAAUUUUUAUCCAAAUUGAGACCAUUUGUUGAAUCUUUUGGAGGUCUAAAACAGGUGGGGCUUAAAAACUUGUCAACUGCCCUAGGUAUUGAAAUAUAUGUCUAUCACAAGAUGCCUUCAAUAUUUAUUGAACUCAAGAUAUCUUCCCUCACUUAUAAAUGGAAAAUAAGUAUUUCAGAGAUGCUUACAUAUGUAGGUCACUCCAACAGUAAUGCCUCCUAUUUCUUUUCAUAGAAACUGCAACGGAUACAAAAAGCACAAUAACACUGUUUGACAGAGCAAAUGCUCAGCUACAAAACACUACUUUUCAGCAUGGUCACAACCAUUAUAUAUGCAUUUCCACCAGCAAUGAACAAGAGCCUGUAUGCCACGCUAGCAGAAAUCUGCACCCACCCACUGUUGAUGUUGACACUGCUGAAAUGCACCAUCCACCACCUCACAGUGCUCACGUCCAAUCUUUGGUCUCUAUAAAUGUUCAGCAAGCAUCAGUGAAUGUCCAUGGGUCAUUAUUUUCUCAUAGAGGAAUUCAGUGACACACCUUCAAUCCAUACACACUCCCACGUCAGACGCCAUUUUGUCAGACUGCCCCUCUGCUGCCAUCUGUUGCACAGCAACAAAAUGUAGGGGAAUACAGUCAGGAAGAUUCAAUCUCUACUGUCAAACCACCAACAAUCACAUCUGAUAUUGUAGGUCAACAUGAUAAAAUAGGAGGCAUUACUCUUAGAGUAGCCCUAUAUGUUUAUAGCCCGUAUAUGUUUAUUUUAUCUAAAUCUGUUUUCAUCUGCCUAGCUUCUCAUUUAGCUGUAGUAAUAGCUUCCUAGUCCAGCCUCGUCAAAUUAUGUAAUCAUUGUUCAUCUUUAGCUGCACUUUUCCUUAUUCUAUUACAUUGGUCUGAAAAAGACUGAAUUUCAUGAGCUUGCUAACUCUAUUGCUGAGCUUAUGACUGCUUCAGUUUUUGUCUGUUCUUUAGGACUAAUGCUUUUCUAAUAUAUUUUCUUUGUUCUAGAAUGAGAAAGCAGAAAAUAAGCUAAGUCUGUUUUUUUCUGUCAUUUUUGUUUUUGUUUUUGUUAUUUUGGUUUGAUUUGGUUUCAUUUUCCUCAGUAAAAUUUUUGAUUGAGAUAUCAAACUGUUUCUGAUGUUGACUUCUGACAAAACCAAUUCUAUCAGCAGUACCUCAGUAUGCCAUAUAGUCCUACCACUCUUUUCCUUCACCACCUUGUGCAUGUUUCAUGUUCCUGGGCGGGCAAGCCUUGAAAGAAUGCUGUUACACAGCUCUUGUUUAGUGUUUAGAUCUUUAAUAUUUAGAUCUUUAAAGCAUUUUGUGUCUAUGCCUAGCAGGAUUUGUGCCAGUUCUCCAACAAUGUAGUUGAAUCAGUAACUUGGAACCUAUUCCAUGAUAGUGGGUCCAGCAGUCUGCUCUGGGUAUGGAUCUUAUGAGUCCUGCAGCCUGCAGGCCUCUUUGCCAAACAAUGAUAUAAUCAGUGAGCUGCCAGCUCUUGGAUCAAGGAUGUAUCCAAGAUAUUUUAGGCUUAUCCAAUUACUGAAUAAUUGUGUUUGCAAUAACCAGCUUGUGUUCAGCACAUUUGGUUAUUAGAAGAAAGAUGAUUGCUGCUGACUCUCUCAGUGCCAGUACAGCCAGCAAAACUCCACUUUAUUAUGUCUCCACCAAGCUUAAAGAAGUUACCUCUGAGUGUCAAUUUUUCUGCCUGUGGUGUCACUACAAUGAUAUCCUGCAACCCACUCCUAAGCAGUUCAUUCACACUGCUCUCCUCCAGUGGAGUUAGCAUACAGGCAUUGAGAAUAUUGGCAGGAUGCCUCCAGUUUCCUCUCUUCUCCUCGCUUACACAAAUACAGAGCCCUCAAUGAUAAUCCUUAACUUUACAACCAACACUUGAAGCCAAGCCACCCAGUGAGCCAGGAGAAUGUGGAACUAUUCUGAAGCACUGAUGGGUAUCACUGUGCUCCUGCAGGCCCCUGUCCCUCCAGCGGGUAGAAACUCAGUUUACAUCCUCCUGGAAGGAACUGUUUUGGAUCUUGAACAAGUCUAAUGGGGAGUGAAUAGGCAGCUUCAAGGGUCCUGACAAAGUGUGCAAGUGACAAAUGAAAGGAAGAUGUUCAUUUAUACACACUAUGUGUGAUCUUCUCUAGGGCUGGGGUAUGAAUUUUGCUCUUGACCACAGUCUUCCUUCUACUUUUGUUAAGCUGUUCCAAAAAGCAGGCCCUUGGAGAAGUGUUCAGCACUAUAGGAACUCUGGAUUUACGUUGGAUGCUUUUUAAAAGAGUGGCAGAGGACAUCACGUCAGUGAGAUUUCACCAAUUCAAGGAAAAACCUUGAAAACUCUAAUCAAGUCUGUCCCAUAUUCAUGCAACAGUAAAGACAAAAGGAUGUAAGUGCAUCAAAGUCUGUUUUUGAGUCUGACUGUAAAGAAUAAGUUAUUAUUCUUUGGAUUAUUUUUUUUUACAUUUCAAUGUUAUUUGUUGGCUCACAGAUAUUUCUUUUUCUUUCUCACACCUCAUACUUUGGCAUGACAACCUCUAAGCAAAUGCUACCAAGAUUACAUUAGGAAACCUCACUCAACAAUGCAGGUACAGUAAAAGAAAAAUGAAAAUGAAAACAAAAAAAAACUCAGGAGAGAAAAAAAAAAAAAAAUACCAACAAACAUGACAGAACCGCUUUGUUUCCCAAAUUAUCAUCAGGCUGUCCAGACAUGGAGAAGCAGUGAACAGCUAUCACAGUGUGGAUAAUAUAGAGAAGUGCUUCCAGGAACAAUGGGAGCAGCCUCCCGUAUGCAGAAUGGGAGCUGUCAGUGGGAAUUAGUGUCCCACAGAUCCUCCCCAUCUCCCAGUGACGGAUCCAGAAGGUGUGCUUGUGGGGUCAGGUGGGAAGGCAAAGCACUGAAGGUUGCAACACAUCCAGUGUAUAGAGAGUAUUAUCAAAUUACUUUGUCAUCUUUAACAGCCCUGCAGGGACUGCAGUGGAAUCUCAGUCCUUUUUUUAAUGAAUGGAAGUUUUACCCCGAAUAGUAAGAGCAAGAUAAAUACUUUUAGCUGUUUUACUUAGCUCAUUUUUUCUUUUCCUCCCUUUUUUUUUUUCCUUUAAUUUUAAAUAAUUACUGUUUUAAAGCCAGCCAAGGCACAUAGGGUUAAAGAUGUAAAAUCUCAGCAUGGUGCAAUAAAGCUGAUACUGAAAUAGUGUAUCCCUACUGUAGGAGGAAUCUGCAAUCAGGACUUCCAAGCACAUGCAAAAAAUAACUCUUGGAUCAGUCUUCUUGUCUUCCAGUAGACUUGGCAAGAAAGGCAAGCCAUAUGUGAAGCCAGCCAUAUAUCAGUUAUGUGGUCUUAGAUAUUUGCAAUAAAACAAAGGACUUUGCUGUCAGCCCUUCCUGAUUUCAUGAAGCCUUUACAGCUCACAGUAAUGUCUCUUUAUCAAAACCCACAAAGUUAUCCUUAGACAUGUGCAUUUCUUACGGAAAAUAUUCUCUGAAAUAGCUAUUUAUGAUUAAAUCCAUCAGGGAAAGGGGAAGACAUGAAAGGACUUAAUACAGCCAGUUUCAGCCAUGCUGAAUGCAUCUAGGAAUAACAAACGAGUGUAAAAACAAUUAAAAAUAAAAUAAGUAAGACUGGGGGAAGGGAAGAGGGUAGAAGAAUUAAAAUAGACAUACACAAAACAAUACGAUCAAGAAUGAAAUCUUUGUGACAGUGAUGUGGAUGCCCUGGUAAAUUAAGUGGAACUAAAACUUCACACCAGAAUUGCUCCUGGCCAUUUAUUUAGGCAGUAUUAGCCAGCAGUUUCAUGCAGGGAUCGUGCUAGGAGUGGGUUCAAGGAAAAAAAUUUGUAAGGGUGUUUUUCCCAGCCAAUGUGAGGUGGAUGGUCUGCACACAGGGAACAAGAAAGAUGGCUGAGAAUAGUUCAGAGUGAGCCACGAAGAGAGGUCAGGAGCUAAUGAAAAGUUAGCCCCCGGACCUGCAAAACCACGGGGAUGUGAACAGCCCUAUGCGUGUGAUUGCUCAGUUAUGUGAAGUUCACUGCGUGCUCAAGCUCAGGGUAAGAACUUGUUUGAUUUGAUGUAGUAGUGAGAGGAGUCAGGGGCGGGAUUUGAAAAGUGACGUGAUUGCAGCAGUGCUUUUCUGAAACAACUUUACAGAAAAAAUUCGGAGAGUGCAUUCCUUACAAAACUGAUAAGGUGUUACUAUAGAACUGCAGUAAUGACUUUGGCAAACAGUUUGUGCAAAUUUCUAGACUAUAAUUGCAAAUGUGGAUUUUUAAUCAAAUAUUAUUAACUAUUACAUAAUGAAAAGAAAUAAAAUCCCAAUAGACAGAUUAGCAUUUUUACUCUCUUUAAAAAACCUUUUUUACAAUGUUCCUUUGAGCCAUAUCCUAAGUUUUAAAAGCAUUUGGGUUUUCUAGAUCAGAUUCUGCAAGGCUCUUGGGCUAACUUUAAGUAUGUGAUUUGUCUAAUUGGAAUUAGCAGCUUGCAACCACGUAUGUUCCUAAGGAUCUUGCCAUGUCAUGCAGGUUUUCUUUUUCUUUUUUUUUUCCUACCUUAAAACCCAAUCAAACAAACAAAAACCAUAGUUAAAAUCGACUCCUGUCCCACCUCUUUUUGUUUAUUUAUUUAUUUUAAAUUCCCCUAUGUUAAAUCUUCACAAAAUCUUUCUUAUCACCUCGUGGAUUAAUUGCCAGUGAAAUAUUUGCUUUGGAAUGAGUAUCUCUUACUAAUGUGUCCUGCUCAGUGUUUAUGACUUAUAACUAUUCAGGGCAACAUACUAUAUUAUACAAAUAUUUGAAGCAAUCACAAGGGGGGCAAUGCUUUAACAUAAUCCUUCACUCACAAGUUGCCCUUGCAGCCCUUUUCAGUUACUUUUCAUUAUUUCACCACAGGGGAACAGUCUCAAUAAAUUAUUGUAUUAACAAUUACAUUAAAAAUGAGCCCUGGAACCCCUUUCUCUACCCCAGUAAAUGUCAUUUAACAGUUUUUGGUGUGGAAAUAUGCAACAGAUAAGUCAAGUGGGUUUUUCUUCUACUUCUUACAGAGGUAUGAAAAUAUCAGUAGAUGCUCAGAUCUCCGCUACUCAAAACAUUACGGGUCAGAUCCGAGCAGAGUGGAGAGGUCAGUGCUCCAUCAUCACAGCUUUAUAUCAUUAUGGGCUUUAGGGCAUAAUAGCCUGCAAGGAUGCUUGGUUAAAAGAUGGGAAGGAAACCUGAAAAAGGUUAAUUACGGCACGCACAGCACUUGACAGUUCCUUUUCAAUCUGAUUCAGCUCAGCUGUGAAUGCCACUGUGUCUUCUGCACAAAGAUCCCGCUCGCUGCUAUGCCACUUGCUGUCACCCCAAGGCAGUUGCGUGGUUUGCCCACAAGGACAGAUCCCAACCCCAAACACUGCAUGUUUUCCAAAGGGUGCACCUGCUUUGCUGUGGAUUUGGUGCUUAGAGCUUGCUGUCUGAAGCCUUAACACCCAGAAACUUGUUUUGACAGUUUGGGUUAUGUUAGUUAGGGAAUCCAAGGAGGGAAUAUCUCUGGAGGGGGCAGGGAGGAGAGGGAAAGAAGCACAAACAAAACAAAAACUUAAGCCUGUGACUAAUUGGCUGAAAGGAUGUGAGCAAUUCGGCUCCACUUAAUUGAAUGUGGGCUCAAAUUAAAAAGAAAGAGUAAUUGCCUUCAAAACUUUGCAUUGUAGAUUGCUGGUGAAAGGCUUAGAAGGUGAAAGCCUUAAAGCACAUGUGUCAGUGAUGUUGUUGACAGGAACCCAAAUAUCCUGUUAUAUGCAUCUGCAUUCAGAGGACUUCAUUCUAGAAGGGAUUAGCCUACAUUAUAUUGAUGGUUUUAUUUACAAGAUGAAUUUUCAUUAAAAAGGUACCCUGAUUUUUGCUAGAAAUUUCAGAAUGUGACCAUGCCUUCUAACUGCUAGCUGCCUUCUAAACAUUUCCUGAUCAGAGAACCUGAAAAUAGCUCUUCAAAUUUCAAAGUAAAUAUAAAGAAUCUCUGCAUUUGGUUACAAAUCCGCAUAUUCUUAUUCAUUUGUUCCUUCAAAUUUAGGGAGAACUUCAUCUGAGCAAAGGGAUAGUUGUGUUAAACACGAAUAACCAGGGAGUAGGGAGUCAAGGAAUUUACCUUGAAAGUACAAAUCUGAGUUAUGAGACCUUUUUAAAUAAAAAUCAGGAAUUAACUCAUGCGGUCUGUACAUUGCCAUUUAUUCUUUACAUCAAAGCUGCAUCCACAAGUUCUAGCCCCAUUGUGCUGUGCACAAAGACACAGAACAAAAGAAAUGUCCUACCUCUCAAAAUAAUUCUCUGCAAGAGUAACAAAGACCCUUUGUUUGCUAUUUAAGCAAGAUUGGUGGACAUCAUCUUUAAGAAGAAGCUCUGAGAAUCAACCUUUUCUGUCCUUUUCCAAAUAUGCAUAUGCACAUUUUUUGUGAGUCUGCUACAGUAAAAAGGCUCCUAAAGGAAAGAAUGGAGCAGAGCAAAAGGAAAAUAUUACUUUAUAUUAAUAACAAGUGGAGUGCACAACGCAUUCCACAUACAAAGGUUACCCAUCUACAGAGAUGGAAGCCAAGGGCAUUUUAAAACUUAAAGAUCCUUUAAAUAAACAUAUUGGUUUAAGUAGGAAGCAAAUAUUCUUAGCUCAGCAGGUAGUUGGUAUCUAAAUCACAUUCAGACUUCACAUAAAUACACAUGUCAAAGCAUUUAUCUAGUAAUAAAAAAAACAACUCUUAAGGAAUGCAGUUCAGAUAGGGAAGUGUCAGGUAUUUUGCACAUUUCCUAUUUCCAGCUCAUUAGUUUCAGCUUUUGACAGGGGUGGAGCUGAAAGAGGGGGUCAGAAAUCCUGUGGAGGUUUUUCUCUCCUCCCAAUUUCACAUGAAUAAACAGAGGGAGGGAGUCCCCUGCCUGUCUGCCAGGCUCUUAUCUAUCAUAUUUAGAUGCUAGAUGCUGUCAGAUACUAGAUAGCAAUGCCUGUAGGUAUUGCCAGUUACUGGGAAAUUAAACCGGGAACAGAAGAUACUCCUUUUCAUUCCCAAACUGACCUUAUGAUAUGAGUAGGUUUCAACAUCCUUCGAAAAACACUGAUGUCCAGACAAAGGUGGCAUUAUUAUAUUUUCAUCAUUUGCUACUCACACCUGAUUAUUAUUAUUUUUUUUCUCAUGUUGUCCACAAGUCUCUUACCAGCACCUUAUCUGUACCUUUUCUUUUGCCUACAUUAAUGUGUUCCUCUCAAAUCCAGGUUCUCUCACUCCGGAAGUUGUAGGUUUAGUACUGCACUGCUGGUUUUAAUUUGAACUUUCCUGAGUAUUAGGGAUUAUCAGAAAUACCUUGUUUUCAAAAAUAAAAUAGAAAGUGAAAAAAUAUACCUAGUUUUCCUUUAUUUCCCUAAAAAACAUUUCAGAAAAUGACAAUGCUUCCCUAGAGAGCGUUACUGUAAGAGGGACUUCGAUCUAAUUCUUGAAAUAUGUGCCUAUGAUCACUAACAGUCAAGUUAGCAAUUACCACCCUUGUGCAAGAAGAUACACACUGUAAGCCAAGAUAAGAUAUCCACACAAGCACACUGUCCCUACUAGCAGUAGAACAAACCUAGCCAGCACAAACUGCAAUAUAAAAGCUUUCAUGCAUUCAGCUGCUCUUUCAUCUGAAGGCUGAUAAAUUCCACCUGAUGGAAGUUAACUUCUUAAGACACUGUUGGAGCAUCCCUUGGUUUGUUGUUGGUAGGAUAUAAAUUAAUAUUGAUAUUUAAGGUACUUUGUUUACAGAGAGGAAAGCCAACAAUAUGGCCUAACUUUUGACUGAGUGAGGUCUCAGAGGUUACUUUGCACUGGCAUGAUCAUCCACACCUUUGGAUUACUUUUUGAAAAAUCUUUGUGGAUCAUGAGAUGCUUCUACUGUGAUAUGAAAAGAAAAUGACUGGCUUUGAUUUGAUGGUCAGGUGGAAUUUCAGUUUGGUUCCUAUCACCUCUCAGACUUGCUUAGAUGAUUCUGUUCCUAAAGUCUGUAUGGGUGUCAGGAAGAACAAUUAUGACUUGUUUUAAAGCUGUUCUGUUAGGGUCACAGGUGAAGUAAAAGACCCAUAACAUUUACCAAUAAUCAUUAGGACAGAGCAUAAGUAUUCACUUUGAAUUAACUUGUAAGCUAGAAGCAUUAACAAAGGCUGCAGGAAGUAUAAUUCUGGGAGGCUCAAAUCUGAAAUUUAUUUUGUCGCACUGUCAUAAAGGGGGUGCAACUUCUUUAAUGGAUUUGAGCCGUUACUAAAUGCAGUAGAGAACCAUAGGAUUCAGUGGACUUCACACAGCCAGGAGUUCAGAGUCUGCCCACUGUGGCUGGUGAGCUAUUUCAGAUGUCUGUUUCUAGCAGAAAUAGACCCGAAAGUGGGUUUACUCUCAAAGAAGAAAAAAGUAGGGUGAUGUAAAUUUCUCUUAAUUUGAGACUACAUUAUGGCCUGCUGCUGCUCAGUCAAAGAAGAUCAAAAAAAAAAAAAAAAAAAAAAAAAAAAUAGUUGCCUUUCUUGCUCUGAGUUUCUAACUGUCCUGCUCAGAUUGUGAAGCUAACAGUAGCUAAUAAAGGAGUAAGUGAACCAAACAUGAAUAACAUUUAGUUUAAAACCUAUCAGAUGGCAGAUGGGCCAUGUCUCAUAGGUGUCGUGGAGACAGUUCAGUGGAGAAGAUGCUGACCUAAUGGUGGCAAGAAUAUACUCCUGCCACUGCUGAUCAUUUUUCAUGGAUUCCCAGUUGGUUGUUUGAUAUGCAACUCCAAAAUUUAUUGUUUUUCUCCUUUUUCUUUCCUUUCUGUCAGCCAAUAAAGAGAAACCAUAACAUCAGCAGUGUUUGAAAACAUAUUUAUGUUUGUUUCCCCUAUAAAAAGAGAUAAUAAUGUUAUGUUCCAAUAAUAUUAAGUUGCAAUGUUAUUUGCAAGAUUGCAGAGCUUUUAAUUUUCUGAUUAUUUCCACAGUGGGAGUUUCAGCUCAAUUUCUACUAAGACAUUUCUAUCUGUUUUGGUUAUUUUUUUAUUACAGCUAGAAGCAACAAUAAUUGCCUUUAGUGUAUGAAAACAUGACUGAGGAGACAAUUGUCGUCCCUAAAGACUAAAAUCAUCAGCAUACAUUUUUGAUGUAAAAUUUUUGUAAAUUAAUUGCAAGGUCCUAUAAAUAUUAUAUUUACUAAAAUUGUGUUGUCUGCUGUCUUCAAAGAAAUAAUCUUUUCCUUUUUCUUUCUCUCUCUCUUUUUUUUUAACUAUGUUUCGUAUGCAGUACAUUUCCUGAGGCAGAAAACAAAAACAUGGAACAAAAUAUUAGCCUUUUACUUUUGUAGUUUUACAUUCUACUAUUUCUCUUUUUGAACUCUGGGGUUUCUUUUUAAUAUAGAGAAAAAGAUCAGUAACACUGUCAUUAAUCAUGACCAAUUUUCAGUUUCUCACUGUUCAGUUGAUCAAAAAAUUGAAUAUCCAUCCCAAAUAAUAAGGCAGUAUUCUUGCAUUUGAUUUUCUCACAGACCAGGAAAAUAAAUUCAAAAUGUCAAACGUUUUGUAGAAUAUCUUUUUCUGCAAUUCCUAUUCAGAAACAAUAAAAUGAAAUCUUUUAGAUGUCUCAUAAUGAAAGUGCUCCCACCCAGUUACAUCCUGGGAGAAAUUAUCUAUCACGACUUAUAAAGGAAAUAUCGUCUGCAACCACCCAUAGAGGAACCUGACAGACUGUCAAAGACCUGGAACUACAGUUGUCAAAAGUCCCUGAGAUAACUUGGGUAGAUGCCAAGAUUAAUAAGCCUAAUUAAAAUUACACUACUUUAUUUCCAUUUUUUCCUUGUAGAAUAAUAAACCACAGUCAGCCUAGAUUUUGUUUUUUAAAGAUCUAUUUUUUUACCUGGCUGUGUUAACAUCUCUCCAGUUGCAUUAUCUCACAGUCUGGUAUGUCCUGUGCAACCCAGAUGUAUAGUUGUUUCACAAGAUUUAUGAGUACAUGGCAAAGUUCUCAAGACAAACAGAUUAUGUCCUUUCCAAAUAGCUGUGUUUGACUGCAGGAGCUACAGAGUAUUUUGGAUAAAUGUGCUCAGCAGGCCUUUCUUUGAAGGAGACAGAUAGUGUAACAGCUAAUAUCAAGAACAGUGAUUAGCACCAAUAGAUUUUAGCAGAUUUACUCCAGUCAUAAUGGUAGCCCUUAAACUUGAGGAGGCAGUGCACUGGACUUACAUUAACUCUAGCAAAUUUGCUCCUAGAAAAGCAGUGGAAAACCUAGGGAAGAUUCUUACUAAUAAAGCACACUUUCAUAAGAAAAUCUGCUCUCCAAGGAAGAUCAGGGACAAGAUUAUACAGACAACCAGGACAAAAAUCAGUAGACAAGAAAAACUUCAGAAAUACUUAGUCUGUGGUUACUGUCUAAGAAUUAACUAUUUUUUUAUUUUUUAUUUUUUUGUUAAGACAGAUAUCAGGUCACUUUUUGAGACCAAUCACAGCUGCAGCUAUACCUGGAGUAGGACCUUGCUUUGGUUCUUCAUGAUUGCUAUAUCUAAAGUACAGCAGGAUGCAGCCAGAUAUGUCAAACUGCCCUUGUUUUCAACCAGGUAUUAGAUUCACAACUUCCUAAUGUAAAGAAAAAAAAAAAAUUAUCUGUAUUUUGAAGACUGAAUUCAUCUCCAGGUAAUACAAAUGAGAAACGGUGCUCUUCCCCACAGUAAUAGGAUUGCAAUCAAGCUCUCAAUGUGAUUUACAAACUCUGUAGUGUUAACCAAUUACUUGCUGGUCAGCCAAUAACAAUGACUGAAUCAUCUUUUGCUUCAGAAAAGGAUCACUGCGCACAAGUUGGAGAAUCUCACAGCACUGCCUUCAAACCAUUCCUACUAAAUAAGACACUGCACUUCUCUGUCGAUAGAUACUAUAUGGUAUUUUAGCCCAAGAAACUUAUGUCAGGAUGUAUAAAAACAACUGGGAACAUGCAGAAUAAUUGAAUCUUAAAUGAUUGUGUAUAAUGUGUCUGCAUUUAUAUUUCAGCAUUUAAAUGCGUUUCAAUACUUUGGUGUGUGAAAGGGUUAAACAAUAACAGAUUUCCUGUGCUAAACAGCUUAAUGAAAAACAUUCAGGGUGCUUUUUUAGAACAACAGACUCAUACUGCAAAAUGAUAAUCUUUGGUAUGUCCUUUUUUUUUUUCUUUUUCACAAGUAACAAUAUAGGCGAGACAGACUUUGCUAUAAUUCUUCCUAAUUGCUCUAAUGCAUUUCAUUUUAUUUUAGUGUUUUCAGUUUAUAAAAACAGUUAGCAUCAGUUUGUUUCCAGUUUUAAUGGAGAUAAACUCCUUCUUUUCCCCCUGAAAAAAUUCACAAUAUGGUUGGAAAUGUCAGCAAUAAUUAGACAAAAUGCUUGUGAAACAUAAAAUAAAAACAAUACGUCUUUUUAUAAUGGAAUCAGUUUGUCUGAUUAUCUCAAACAAUGUACAUUUCCAACUGCCCAGGAGGGUCAUUAGAGCUUAUGAAAAUCAAAGUCUGCUUUUUCUGCUUCAGACAUCAUGGACAACAAUAUUGUCUCCAGGAUCAUUAUAAAUAUAUGUUAGACUUUCUUGAACUACAGUGAACCUGAAGCAUGAAAUGCAUUUAAAGAUAAAAACAUCAGGGGAAAAAAAAAAAGAAAAAAUGAAAAACAAAACAAAAAAGCAAACAAAUAAAUCCACUUUGUGUUAUUAACUAAAUAAGUGUUACAUAGAAAUUAUAGUUGGAUACAUAACCUCGCUGAAUACAGUACUCAAGGGACCUUGGUUCUAUUCUGUCAUCAGUCACAGAUUUCCAGUAUAACCUCAAAAAAGUCAUUUCCUACCCUAUGCACAAUGAGGGCUGUUUGUCCCUUAAAGAGAUGGUUGUGACAGAGCUCCCUUCUGAGUUCCUGUCUAGGUGUGAAGUCUAAUUCAAGAAGUUUCUGUUAUUCCUUUGAGAUACACUCAGAGAAUAGACAAGAGUAUCACUUCUACCUUUUUUCCCAUUUGUAGAAAUGGGGCUAAUAUUCUCUUGCUCUCACUGGAGAGUUUAUGGAUACAAUCCAUUAGUGUGUGAGAGGCAUUCAGAUACCAUGAUGACAAGGACCAUUUAGCAAGUAAAUAUCUGGAUGGAGUAGGAGGAAUUCAGCUGCUGUUACCACAUUACAUUACAAAUAGUUUAGGACAAAAGACAAACGGGAAGUCUGAUAAGUUUAUCGUAUGAUCAGUUAUAGUCAUACAACAAUUCUGCACUCAAGGAACCUGGAAAGCUGUUUCAAAAAUGAAGUUUCCACCUGUUUAGUUUGUUUACCAAUAAGUGUGGCAGUAUGCCUAUUCUGCCCAGUGGUUUAAGCACUUUUCUCCUGCUCAUACAUGCUGGGUUUUCAGUCUUCAAUUGCAUCUUUCAGAUUCGGCAGCAGUGUCACACGGCAAGAUGGAAUUCUAGGGAUGCUGCUGCGUUGUUUUGGAUGGGAUCCUACUAUAUCAGCUGCCAAAGUGCCCAAGGAAAAAUUGAAACUUACAGGAAAAUUAUAGCGACAUGAAGAAAUUUCAUUAAAAGUGACAUGUUCUAAACCUUUUAGAAAUACAAAAAUCUGUUGAAGAUCCCAAGAUGUGUGUAGAAAAUGUGGGUAAGAAAAGAAAAUGCAUUACUAAACUAAUCUAAAACCAAAGCAGGUAUUUCUCUGCUAUAGUAUUGCUACACAUAUGCUCUUGUUAGUACAAGCAAAUGCUUACCAAUAAUGAACAAUCUCUGUUGGUUGCAAUGCUCAAGCACAAAUUAAACACUGCUAAAAACUAUUAUUAAAGCACAUGAAGGAAUUAAUACAUAAAAUCCUUCUGCUACUUCAAAUUCACAGCAAAGCGAUUCCUCUCUGCCAAGCCAUCAGUACAAUGUACAGAAGCCUAUUUUUAAGAAUGGUUAAGGGAACAUACUUUCCAUGGAUCUCCAUGUAUUUCAAGCCUACUAAGGGUACAACCCAUCCUAUCAGAGUAGGUUUAUUUGGAGGAGGAGGACAAGGAUCCCUGCUCACACUGUCUCCCAUGGCAUGAGAAAUGAGAAUAUUCCCGACAUCCCAGUAGCAAUAGGAGUAGAUAUGAUCCACUGUAAAAUCCUGUGAGCUUCAUUAUCAGUUUCAGAUGAGAGUUCUGUUUGUAAUUAGCAGAAACCAAACCAAUGAAGUAGUAUUUGGUUUUCUUUUGUGUGUUUUGCUCUCCAACAGUUGCUGAACACUUCAUUUUAGUCCACCAAUUCCUCAGCUAGUGACACAGCCCAGUCAGGGUCACAGGCCCAAAAUGUAUUCCACCUCUAUGCUCACCUGUCUCUUAAGCAGGGAAAUUAAAAUUCAUUGUCAAAAUAAGCAGAGAUUUUGCAGAUUGAAACAAGAGAGGAAUAGCACUUCUCUCUCUUGUGUCUUCUACAGUGUAACACAGCAGAGAAAGUAAAGCCCAGGGAAAAACAAAUUAGAGUGACCCCAAUGUCCUGAAGACAAUAUUUUCAAGCUUCAUCAUUGAAAUAAAGAUUUGAGAAAUCACCAAUCAACAGCUCAAAUCCACCAGAAGCAGAACGUCAAGUUUGGGCCCACAUGCAGAUUCUCACAUGAGGCUUUCACAUGGUAAACAGCCAAUGUUUGAAAAGGCACACAGCAGAAAUUGUUGGAAGAAACAUUAGCUGGGAGGGCAGGCCCAUUGCCUUAGCUCUCCAAGGCAGACUGAAACAAUAGCAAGUGACACAGAUGAAUUUUCACCUUGUCUACCGGUACUGCCACAGAAAGGAUGUAAUGCAAUCUCCUGAGAAGUCCAUUGUCCUCAUGGCACUGUGUGAAAUCUGUGACAAUGUCAGAACUUGGUCAUAGCUCCAUGUUCUCUGCCAGAAACAUAAGCAUGCUUCGAGUGCAUUAUUCUUUUAGAGGGGGGCCUCGAAAAGUUCAGCUGUAGGAUUUUCUCAUCAGCUUAAUUUUUCCAUGUUCUGUUUUGUUUCUGGUAUUUUCCCACUUAUGUUAUUUGCUUGCUGAAGCUGCUCCAUUCAUGGAGUUCAGUAAAUGGUGUUUGCCAUCAGAACAAUUUGAUUCUAGUUCUAAUUAUAACAACAAGCUGCUUUCUUCAAACAUAAUAUGGGUGUUUCAUUAUUUUAAAUUGUUAUCUUCCAUAUUAAUUACAGAAACAGUUGAUCUUUUCUGAGAAACCAGCAGCUGCAAAUUCCCCCCUUUUUAAAUGUCUCAUUUUAAUAGGUGAAACAUCAGGUAAAAAUUAAAUCAGAUUGUAUCAUAAUUCUCCAGAAGAAGAUAUGUAAGUUACAACACAUUGCCUCCAUAUUCCAUAGGGUUACACUAUUCAGGUGUAUUCAACCAUGUAGCUUAGUAUAGAUCACACAGCUCAGUUGCAGACACAGUGCCCCUAAAUAAAUCACACAGCAAUGGCAACAUUACUAAUGAGACUAUCAGAAUCAAAGGAAGCAGGGUGAUGCAUCUGAGUAGAGCCUACAUCAUUAUUCUGCAUGAUUUGUUUAUGGUAUUGUUGGUGAGUCGUGUUUCUCCCCCCUCCUUUCCUAGUCCAUCUGGAUUAAAAAUGGGAACUAGAAGAACUGAAGUCCUGGAAUAGCCUGUACACAACAGUCCUGCAGUCAUAAGGAGGGGUGGUCUGGUGCUUCUUGCAAGGCAUCUGAUUACACAAACUCACUUAUCAUCUGUACUCUGCAACAGUUCAAGAGCUGAACUUCUGACAGUUUUCUUCUGUCACGUAUUUGUAGCUACUGAUCUCCAUGAUCCCUGAAAGAAGUAUAACUCAGUUACUGAGCCUGCUGACACUCAUGUCAUACUUUUUUCCAUCCUCACUCAAAGCAGUGAUCGAAAUUUAUUCCUAUUUUGUGAAGUACAGAGUAACGAAUUUCCAAUACUAGUGGCUUUUUCUCCACAUUAGAACUCCACAUUUCUGAAAGGGAAAGUUAAUGUUGGAGAUGAGAAUAUGCUACCAGCAAAGCUAAGUUAUUUAGCAUUUCUACAGUAUUUAAAAUUUCUUCAGAUAAAAUAUGAGAAUUAUAUUUAAAAAAAAAAAAAAAAAGAAGAAGAAGAAGAAGAAAAAGACAAACAAACACAGAACAGUUUUCUAAAGAUGAUAUGUAAGCUGCACAACACUGAGAUUCUCCUUGGACAUAAAUUGCUGACAACAUGUCAAAUCUUUUCCACAACUGGGAUACAUUUACAUUGUUUUAAACAUGGAGUUACUUCUUUGCUGUUUAGGAUUUGGCCAAAUUUAAACAUGCUUGGAAGACAGAGACUUAACUUCUCAAAUAAUUUAUUGAUUGCAGAUAGAAACAUUUUUUCUUAAAUUGUGCAAAUAAGAGCUAGAUAACAUUGAGAAUAGGAGCUUUCAAAACCUCUGCACUGAUCACAUCUGACAAACAAGAUAGGAAAAAAAUAUUAAAAAAAAAAAAGAAAAAGAAAAGAGUUUAAAAGAAGAGUGAUAACAACACAACAAAACAGCAAAACAAAACAACACAGAAAAAACAACUCAAAACACAACCCAAACCUAGAGCUUAACCAAAUAAUUCAAUGUUCUUCCCCAAAACCAAUGGAGAGAGGAAUAUAAAUCAUGAAUUUAUAAUAAAAAAAAAUGAUUUUUUUUUCCUAAAUCAAUGGUACUCCUAAACACGCUUCAAACAAUAAAGUAAGACUUUGCAGUGAUGAGUAGUUCAAAACAAUUCUUCAACCAGAUGGUUACAACUGUGGUUUUCUGUACUCCCCUUUCAUUUUCCCUUUCUUACAUGUCCCUCCCACUUUGCAUCAUACCAAUUAAUAUCUUUCCUUCCCUAACAGCCCUCUAGAUAAUUCACAGAGGCAUUUUUCUGUGUGGCCUAGCAUUAAACAGAAACUAUUAAACAGUCAACUCCUAUUUCUUCUAUAGAAUUAAUGUCAUGUUAACUCACAGAAUGCCUUGCUGUUUAAUCACACAUGAAUGAGGUAUUUUAAAGAAGUUGUAAGGUAUUUCAGCCACACCCUAAGAACAUUCCGCUGAUUUAAACCAGGAUGCACUAAACCUGUUUUAGAUACAGUAUAGGAACACUACUUUUAAUUGCUAAUUUUUGCCUUACAAAUCUAAGUAGAAAUAACAAGGAAAAUAUAAUGCUCUUUAAAACAGAAAAAUUGAGUUGAAGUUUUGUGCAAUUUGAUGCCUUGCUGGCAUUUUAGGACUUACUAUUAAAACUCACAUGAAAGUAACCUGAAGGAAAGUUCUCUGGAAGGACAAAGGAAUCAAAUUGUGUCUUUGAUGCUUAUAGACAUAUUCUGGAGUGAUUUUAUAUUGAAUCCCACUUCCAUGAGAACUAUGUGGUUUUAUUCAUGGAGGUGUAAGCACCUGAGCACUCAUCUCUAUGAGUAACAAUAUUCAGAGUUCCAUUGUAUUCUAUUAUAUUAUGACUAGCAGCCUCCAAAUCUGCACUGAAGUAGUUUGAUGCAUUAUCAGCAUUUUGAUCCAACCAUAGCUCAUUAUCUGUGGUCUUACUACUGAUGUGUCUCCAGUCAUGACUCAGAACGGCAGUGCUGGGGCCCAUGUGACCAGAUCCCCUUUCAUCUCCGGGGCUCCAUUUUCUUUAUAAAACAAAGAGGUGCCAUCACAAAUGUACUUUUUGGCAUUUCCCUGUCAGCCAGAAUCAACCUGCUAACUGAUAGGUGUGCUGUGUCUCCUAGAGGGUCUAGAUGUGCAUAUGUGGUUGCAUCCAUGCUCAGAAACAAGGUGCUUAAUCAUGGCAAAGUACAGGGACAUUAAAACCCAUCCAGUUCCAACCCCCUGCCAUGGUCUGGCUGCCCCCCAACAGACUGGGGCCCAGGGCCCCAUCCCACCCAACCUUGAACGCUUCUAGAGGUGAGGUACCUACAGCUUCUCUGGCAGCCUGUCCCAGCACCUCACCAUUCUCUGAGUAAAGAUUUUUUUGGUAACAUCUAACCUAAAUUUCCACUAUUUUAGUUUAAAGCCAUUCCCCCUUCUUCUAUCACUCUUAGACAGUGUUUCAGUGCUGAACAUAUUAAUUACAUAUCCCCAGAAAUUUUCGAACUGCAGCAGUCAGGCUGGAAGGGAACAGUCACAGCAGCAGCACUUUUAGUCCCAUGGAGGAAAGAUUCCAGCUCUCAAAUGCCAGACUUCAUGUGUGCAGAGAGCACCAAGAAGUGCUGCAGAGAGUACCAAGAGCCAACAGGAAUGAUGGUGCCUUUUAAUCUUGGUAAUAAAUGAGCAAAUGCAGCAAAGUAGAAUUUAUCUGUUAACACUGACAGUUGUUAAAGACCAUGUAACUGUCUGUAAUGUAUAUAGAAUUAUUGACAUCAGAUGUGUUUAUAUUUAGGUUAAACAACUAUAUUGUUUUUAUAAGAGAAAACUGUUUCUGAAAACAAUAGGCCAAAUUGCUUUUUCUUGCUAAGAACAAUGAUGCAAUUCUGCCAGUACCAACAAUUUUUAUUACAGAAUCAGCUAACUGAAAACACAAGGCUCUUUAACAACAUGUAUCUUACAAAGCACUCCAGUGCAUGCUGAUGCUGUUUUGCUUUGUUUGCCAGUCAAGAUGGGUAAAAGCAAUUUGUAUUUUGCAUUUUGCUUGUUAUUUCACUUUUCCUUUGUAUGGUUCCUCUCGCUUUCCUUUCUUUUCAUGCAGGCAAGCUCCAUUUCUUCUAAAUUUUUCACUAUCAAAACUACUUCGAUGAAAUCAGAGUCAGCUGAAGAGAAAAAGGCAAAUCCUUCCGGGAUGAGGAAGAAACAGAAGGAAAAGAGAAGAGAAUUGAGAUGGAAAAUACAUUCUUGUCUCCAGAAAUAAGCAAGGCUCCCCAGAAUUUGGAGAUUAUGCAGUCACAGUUACCACAGCAAACAUAUUCUGAGCCGUGUCUUGGACCAUCCCAUUAAAGAUUUUCAAAUACACAACUAUAGGACUGCUUGCAAGAGGGCUGCCUAUUUGAAAUUUGUUUAAAUGCUAGUGUUAUGGAAAGCAUAAUCGGUACAGAUAUACCAAAACUGAGUCUGUAAAACAGAAAAUAAACCUUGCCAUUUGCCAUUUAGAGGCAGUUUAAAACAAGGUCUUUGACUUUGGACUGUACCUGGCAGGUUAGAGAUUCACUAGAUGUGCAGAAGAUGCAGCAAACUGAGAUCAUAGACUAAUGAUUUAGAUUUAAGAUUUAAACUAUAUCUCAUUGUCAUUGAGAUAACAUAAUAACUGAAUUAAAAAAAAAAAAAAAACUGGCUUUUGUCAGUGCAAAAAUUAAGCUCUUGUGCUUGCCUCAGUAAUGAAAUAUACAACAUCUCUUGUUGUCCUUACCUUUGAACUGCAGAUAACUGUACAGCAAUGUUACAGGACAGAGAUACACUUGUGAAAUAUUCACGAGCUGAUGUCUUUGCAGCCCCACGGGACCAGUGAAGAGCUCUUUUUUCCCCCACAUCUCUCUCUCAGACUUUAAAUAAUGAGGAGCAGAAAAGGUAUGAGACAACAUGUCUGUGUGUCUCCUUUGAAAUCUUUUCUUACAUUACCUUGUUAUCUGUGCUCAAGAGCAGCAGGUAUUCCAGCAGUUCAGAGUGUAUCCACAGCAAAAACACCCAGCAAAAUAGACUACCAGUCGACACAGCUUUCAGUUCCUGGUCCAGUCGGCAAAACACAAAACUAAUACAUAGGGGAGUGCCAGCCUGGCUGAGGCUAGAGGGGAGUGAAGGCAGAAUUUUUGCCAAGCAGUGAUUUAGGAAAAUAUAUAUUAUUCAUCCUGGAAAACAACCUAAUGCACUGUUUCCUACUCUGUGCUCUGAAAGUGCCUUCAUAUGGAAAGCUAUUAAACUUCUAUAUGUUUUUAGCAUUACAGCGUGGAUCAAAGCCUGACCACCCCAGGCAGAUGAGAGUGUCAGAUCCCUCCACCAGUCAGGAGGAUUUGGAUCAGUGUUUUCACAUUAGCCGUCAGUGGUGAAGAAAUCCAUCCAGACCUGAAUUUGGAGUUUUUCCUAUGCUACAGUACUGUGCAUUGGGAAAGACCAUCCUGAACUUACUAUGGGUGGAAUUCCACUUGUUUCUACCACUCUAAGUCAGGCUGGAGCAUGGACAAGAAUUAAAUCAGACCAGACUUAUCAGGGGAAUUCACCUUGUCAUCAAGGCAAACGUAACACUUUUUUUUUUUUUUUUUUUUUUUGAGGAGGCAUCACAUUUUAAAUUUCAAGUGCUGUAAGUCUUCUAACCCCCUUUUUUUAUUCCUUCUGUGAUACAAAAAUGCUUAUAUAACAGGUAUUUUCCCACACCAGCCUUAAAAGCCCUUAUUUCCUUUCUUUUUUUAUUUCAACAGACUAAUAGUCAUUGCAACACAGGUGACAGUAAAUCAAAUCAAGUUGAAAUGUCGGCCUGACUCAUUCUCAGACGAUAUAUGAUUUGUUUGCAUUGCAUUAUCUUGGAAACCCAUAGCCAGUGUGCACUAACUACAUGUCUGCACAUGGCAAGAAGAUAAACACCCUUAGCCAGUAAUAUAAAAUCUAAAUAAAAUUACAAUCAGGUUUGUAUACUAGGAUAGCUUUGUAACACCCAUGGGGCAUUACUCUUAUCAUUAGAAUUAUUUGCAUUAGAGCAGUGUCCAAAGAUCCUGCCUAUGAUCAGGUUCAAAUUGUGCUAGGCUCUGGAAAACAUGGGAAGAGACAAAAAUUCUGAAUGUUAAAUAGAUAAUUACAUGCAAAGGGUGUGAGAAAGAAAGGAUGGCUAUCAUUAUUUUGUAGAGAACUUAGGUGUGGAGAUUACAUUUUUGCUACAUUCUAAGCAUAGGUGCAAAGCAAUGCUGAAGUACAAGUCUGAUUUGCAUGUUCUUUGCACACCAUAACAUGUGUAGGUUACCACGGCUUUGUGGAAAUACUGAUAACAGUGGGAGAGAAAGCUUGAGUCUUCCAUCUCCAGCCACACACAUGGGCAGCUGGAAACGGGUGGCUAGGCUUUUCGCCUGAGGCAACAGCCACGCAUCCUGUCAUGCUGUCCUCUGACACUAUUUGAGUGCUGAUCAGACACGCCUGCCCAAGUUGUUCCCAUAAAGGCGUAGAGCCCUGCAACACAGGAUAGAUGGGCAGGAGAGUUACAGGAACGCCAAGCCCAGAGUCAGAUACCUGAAUGGAUGCCCAGACAACAUGAGUGGGUUUUUUGUUUAUUUUUUCUUUUUCCUCUCUUGGGCAGACCACAUGUUUUCUGUAAAGUCAUAAAAAAAUCUAAGUGGUGCUAAGAACCAGUCACCUCACUCCAGUUUGGCAUUUGCAAAUUCACCAUUCCUCUCUAAGGUAACAGCUGCUGGAACUACACCAGCAACUUCUUCAAAAAACAGGACAAGUGGUCUUUCAGUGGUGGAAGAUCUGCUGAACUCAAAGGAAGCUGCAUCUGGAGUAACAUUUCAAUGUAUACGCUGUGCAUGCUUACAAGUUUUAUGAUUACAGAAACAGCCAGCACAAUGCUGGGCUGACGAAAGAGGGGGUGGAUGUUUAGAUGCUGCUGUUUCACUUCAUGUUGGCAGGGAUAUGGAAAUUAUGAAGUGAUAAGGAGAGAUGUAAGAGGGAGGAGAAGGCAUGAGUGAUUGAUUAUGUGCUUAAUUAAGCAAUGUUGGCCACAUCAAGUUGUAGUGAAGUCUCUGUACAUCUGUAGCAUGCUUUUAGUCCCAGGCAAUAAAUUGGCUACCUGCCUCUGAAUGGACAGUGAGGGGAAAAUACUUUUGAAGGUAGAAAUGUUGGCUAUCCAGAAGCGAUGGAUGGUUACUUACUAUUUUUUUUUUGUCUUUGAAGACCGUAUAUUAUCAGUUAACAUAAUGAACUCACCAAGUGGUCCAGUAACCCACGGAAGUAAUUCUGCUUAGAUCACUGAAAUAAAAGGCAGGAGCAAGGCUUUCAGACUUAGGCCUCAAACAAAAACUAACAUUCAAGGAUAGCAAGCUUUUCCUCCUGUUUAAGCUCCUUUAAUAAAAAUGCAAAUAUUGCUUUCUUAACCACAAUAGGAACUCUAGUCAUUAUUUUUCAAUACUAAUGUUAGUGUUUUCCUAUAACUUCUGUUGUGCUGUAAUUCUAGAGGCCCAUGUCUAAUCCCAUAUGUAAUGUGUUUAUUAGAUGUAAUAUUUUAUCUCUUGGAUACAGUUUCUGACACUAUCAUUUUGUUCUUAUUUCAAUAAAACUGAUUUCCUUCCUUCUCACCCUGACAGGAUGCAUUGAAUUUCUUUAUCACAGAAGAAAGUUAGAAAGGUUCUCCCAUAAAAGACAAAAAUGGACUGCAUGUAGUGUGGCUUAAUUUAAUUUAUCUCAUAAAGUCCAGACCAAAUAAAGUAACUUUAUAAUAUUAGAUACGGCCAGAAUUGAGCUGGGAUUCUUUUGUUGUUGUUGUUUGUUUUUAAUAUAUGGUUAUCUAGUCUCAGUAAAUCUGUAGCUCAUUGGCUUCACCACCUGUAUCCUUCUGAACACAGAAUGAAACAGUACCAAAUGCUCAUGCAAUUUCUGAUUUUCUUUGGGAAUUCACUAUCUGUGUGCUUUAAUCAAGUGAUAAUAUGUAGGAACCAUUCCAGCUUUCAGCUGACAAAAGCACAAUAUUAGUUGUUUGAUGAGAACUCCUCUAUGGAUACAAAUUCCACAUGGAUUUUCCCAGGCUUUGUAAAUUUAUUAAAAAAUAAUAUAUUCUAUACACAAUUAGAACAUGAAUGUUAAAAGAGUAAGUAAAGUAAUUUGUUGGGAAUGUGAAAUCAUCUAGAAAAGAAAGAUGUUUUCGUAUAAUUUUAGCUGUCACAUAAUAAUUUGCAAAACACAGAAGGCAUUUGAAACCUUUGGUAUCCAGAUCCAGAUUCCCAGUAGAAAAGUAUUCCUUUCAGGCUACCUUCUGGAAUAAAGGUCUUCUUUAUCUCCUUUAUCAUAUUGGUAGUGUUUCACUAAACAGACAGUCAGAAGCUGCUGUUGAAUAGGGAAGCUGGAAAACGCUCAUCUUAUUUCAUAUUCAUUUUCCACACCUUGUCAACAACUGCACAGCUCACCACUGAAGCUGCAUUUCAUGCAAUGCAUCCAAAGGUUACAACUUAUAGGUCAGAGAUGGGAAUUUUCACUUCGCAAUCACUGGGCAGCUGAGACUCCAUACAUUACUGUGGUGACAGGUAUAGUACGCAGUGAUGAACCUUCUGUCAGUCAGACAGAGGUCACAUUGGUAUCAGUUACUAACAUACCUCUCUCCUAGCUUAAAAAAAAAAAAAAAAAGGAAAAUUAAAAAAAGUCUAUUUUUUUUCUUCUUGUGGAAAAUGGAAACAGAGUUGAUGUUCACUAAUGUCAAGUGGCAGGAGAUUUAGAGCCCCAGAGCUCAGGAGGUCUCCUGUAGCUGUGCUGGCAGUACUUUCAGCACCAACAUAAAUCGCCGCCUGAACUGAAACCCACAAAAGCUGUUCCAGAAGAAACUACAACAGCCACGUAAACAUGUACUGGACAGGAAACAAUGAACUCCAACCUGGUACUGGAGAAUCCAAAAUAAGAGCAUGUCAACUUCCUGGUCAUAGCUAUUUUAUUUUUUUUCGUAUUUAGCAUCACUUACACAAAAACAGUUAAAAAUUAUUACCUUAGCAGACAGACAGAUUUUUAGUUUUUGUAAUGAGGUGGCUGAAUCUCACAUUAAAGAGGAAGCUGUAACACAAAUAAGAGGAAGUGAAUAAGUACUUAAGAUGUACCUUCAACUCCGUAAUUUUAACGCUUUCAUGAAGAGAUCAGAAUACAAAAUCUAUCAUCAUUAAUUAUAUCCUGUUAUACCAUCCUUGUGUUCUUUGCCAAAUAAAUGCCAUAACACAUCAGAUAACAACAGAAUAUUUACAUUACAAAGGUUAAAGGAUCAUGCUAUCUGUAGCUAGGUCAAAGUAUUUUGGUCAACUGCAAUAAAAUUUUGUCUGAAGGUCCCCAGAGGUUAAUGCGAUCACUGAACUUCACAGUCAGUUUAUGAAUAAGACCUUAAAAGAAUAUUCCUAAGUUCCUGCAUUUUCCUACUUGUGGUACUUGAACAUCCACAAGCAAAUACUGGCCUUCCUAAACAAGACAGUUGGAUGACACAUUUUUUUGUGUCAAAAAGGAAGCCCUUCUUCCCCUCAAAAAAAAAGAAAAAAAAAAAAAAAACCUAGCAUAAAGCAGACUCUAUACACAUGGAAUAAAUUGAUUUUACCAAGGCUAAAUUUGUCUAGUGGAGCCUAUACUUGAGAUCAUUCAAGCGCUCUCUUGAGUUAUCUCAUUGUAGCAGAGUUUGCAGGACAGGGCCUUGAAUUUGUUUCUGCCAUACAAAGUUGAUAUAUAAGAAGACAGGAUUUAAUUGAAACAUCUUGAAAGAG